rnacentral:tRNA from 1 species
UUUCCUGGUAGCUUAAUGGUCAAAGCGUGUGGCUGUUAACCACGAGACUGUAGGUUCAAAUCCCACUCAGGAAGA